ACAAAAUAAUAUUAAUUUUCUCGGCGAGGCUUGCAGCGUGGUCGGCAGUCAGCUUCUCCAAUGAGAGUUGUUUGCUUGGGACUCCGAGAUCUGUGGAUCUAUUGGAUGCUCUGUCUUAUAAAGUGUCGGCGAAGGCUCUGGUCUCAUUAUGUUUCCUGUUGCUUGUAGCGGAUCCGUGGUUGUUUGUCUCACUCUGUUUUGCUAGUCCGGUGUAAAAUGUCGCCUUGUCUCCGACGUCACCGUAUCCGGAAGAAAGUGUGAGGUUCCAUGUGUGGUUCUGUCUUUGCGGAUUAUGAAGAUUAGCAUAGGAGUUCUGUUACUUUUAGGCAGUUUGGCAUCUUUAGAGGAGGAUUAGAUUAUCGAUGGUUGGCCACGGGCAUCUUCGAUAUGUACUAUCAAAGGAUCUCUUGAAGUAUGCUUUCCUUGUUGGGUUGGUUUAUGGUCCCAUUUGGUCGAGUGUUUUGUUUUGGUCUGUUCUUGUAGUGGGGUUCUUCUGCUUUCAUUAUAUGUUUGUAUCGGUUUGUAGCCUUGUAGUAUUGUUUCUUUGCUUCCCUUACAUAGGGCUUUAGACUCCAGAGAUAUCUUUGUUUUCUGCUAGCAUAUGGUUGUAAUCUUCCAAAUAUCCUUCAUGGUUUUUAAUAAAAUCUAGAUGACAAAAA